rnacentral:rRNA from 1 species
UACGUAGGGGGCAAGCGUUGUCCGGAAUCAUUGGGCGUAAAGAGCGCGUAGGCGGUCCGGUAAGUCGGUUGUGAAAACUGGGGGCUCAACCCUCAGAGGCCGACCGAUACUGUCGGGCUAGAGUCCGGAAGAGGCGAGUGGAAUUCCUGGUGUAGCGGUGAAAUGCGCAGAUAUCAGGAGGAACACCAGCGGCGAAGGCGGCGCUCUGGGCCGGAACUGACGCUGAGGAGCGAAAGCGUGGGUAGCAAACAGG